CUUACAUAGACAAAGAGCAUAAACAUAAUAGCAGGCCGUGUUAAAACCAUUGAACACAAAUUCAAUCUUCAUGACACUUUCCCUUUUCCUUAUUGUCCGACUUCUUGUUUCCCUAUCGAAUAGUAACAUUUAAUGAUAUCUCCACAUCCUUCUCUUCAAUCUUUAGAUCCGCAACUGUUUGUAAAAUUUGAGAUAAGUCUUGAAAAGGUUUUGUAGCCUUUGUUUGACAAAACAUCCGCCCUCUGUUUCACUUUCAUCGCAAAUGCCACUAGGCUGUCCAGGUUCAAAUCGCGAGGCCUUGUUCUUGUUGAAGUUAACAUCUCUCCAUUCAAAAUAUCCGCAUUCCAAUGUACAACACAUGAACAUUCAACCUCUAUUAUCCGUCUCCCUCUCUACCUCCAUCAUCUUCACUAUUCCCAUAACACAGUCUGGACAUUGCUUCUUAUUUGGACAAUUCCACAACUUGUGCCCAGGAUCUCUACAGCUAUGACAAAUACUUCUGUUCUUCCCUUCCAUUCUGAAAUGCAACUGCAAAUGUAAUAACAGCAAGUUAAAACUCCAUUGAAGUCAUCAUACAACACAACUCAAUGAAUGAAUACAUCAACAAGAAGUUUGCAUAUUAAU
rnacentral:lncRNA from 1 species